AUUGAACGCUGGCGGCAUGCCUUACACAUGCAAGUCGAACGGUAACAGAUCUUCGGAUGCUGACGAGUGGCGAACGGGUGAGUAACAUAUCGGAACGUAUCCAAUAAUGGGGGGAUAACUAAUCGAAAGGUUGGCUAAUACCGCAUACGCCCUGAGGGGGAAAGCUAGGGGAUCUUCGGACCUGGCGUUAAUGGAGCGGCCGAUAUCUGAUUAGCUAGUUGGUGGGGUAAAGGCCCACCAAGGCGACGAUCAGUAGCUGGUCUGAGAGGACGACCAGCCACACUGGAACUGAGACACGGUCCAGACUCCUACGGGAGGCAGCAGUGGGGAAUUUUGGACAAUGGGCGAAAGCCUGAUCCAGCGAUGCCGCGUGGGUGAAGAAGGCCUGCGGGUUGUAAAGCCCUUUCGAUGGGAAAGAAAGCCUGGAGCUAAUACCUCCGGGUCUUGACGUUACCCAGAGAAGAAGCACCGGCUAACUCCGUGCCAGCAGCCGACGGUAAACUAGUCUACG
rnacentral:rRNA from 1 species